AUGCGUAGCCGACCUGAGAGGGUGAUCGGCCACACUGGGACUGAGACACGGCCCAGACUCCUACGGGAGGCAGCAGUAGGGAAUCUUCCACAAUGGACGAAAGUCUGAUGGAGCAACGCCGCGUGAGCGAUGAAGGCCUUCGGGUCGUAAAGCUCUGUUGUUAGGGAAGAACAAGUGCGAGAGUAACUGCUCGCACCUUGACGGUACCUAACCAGAAAGCCACGGCUAACUACGUGCCAGCAGCCGCGGUAAUACGUAGUGGCAAGCGUUAAUCGGAAUUACUGGGCGUAAAGCGCGCGUAGGUGGUUUGUUAAGUUGAAUGUGAAAGCCCCGGGCUCAACCUGGGAACUGCAUCCAAAACUGGCAAGCUAGAGUAUGGCAGAGGGUGGUGGAAUUUCCUGUGUAGCGGUGAAAUGCGUAGAUAUAGGAAGGAACNCCAGUGGCGAAGCGACCACUGGGCUAAUACUGACACUGAAGGUGCGAAAGCGUGGGGANACGAAACAGGAUUAGACUACCCCUGGUAGUCCCAACGCCGUAAACGUAG
rnacentral:rRNA from 1 species